CGAACGCUGGCGGCGUGCUUAACACAUGCAAGUCGAACGGAAAGGCCCUGCUUUUGUGGGGUGCUCGAGUGGCGAACGGGUGAGUAACACGUGAGUAACCUGCCCUUGACUUUGGGAUAACUUCAGGAAACUGGGGCUAAUACCGGAUAGGAGCUCCUGCUGCAUGGUGGGGGUUGGAAAGUUUCGGCGGUUGGGGAUGGACUCGCGGCUUAUCAGCUUGUUGGUGGGGUAGUGGCUUACCAAGGCUUUGACGGGUAGCCGGCCUGAGAGGGUGACCGGCCACAUUGGGACUGAGAUACGGCCCAGACUCCUACGGGAGGCAGCAGUGGGGAAUAUUGCACAAUGGGCGGAAGCCUGAUGCAGCAACGCCGCGUGCGGGAUGACGGCCUUCGGGUUGUAAACCGCUUUCGCCUGUGACGAAGCGUGAGUGACGGUAAUGGGUAAAGAAGCACCGGCUAACUACGUGCCAGCAGCCGCGGUGAUACGUAGGGUGCGAGCGUUGUCCGGAUUUAUUGGGCGUAAAGGGCUCGUAGGUGGUUGAUCGCGUCGGAAGUGUAAUCUUGGGGCUUAACCCUGAGCGUGCUUUCGAUACGGGUUGACUUGAGGAAGGUAGGGGAGAAUGGAAUUCCUGGUGGAGCGGUGGAAUGCGCAGAUAUCAGGAGGAACACCCAGUGGCGAGGGCGGUUCUCUGGGCCUUUCCUGACGCUGAGGAGCCGAAAGCGUGGGGAGCGAACAGGCUUAGAUACCCUGGUAGUCCACGCUGUAAACGGUGGGUACUAGGUGUGGGGUCCAUUCCACGGGUUCCGUGCCGUAGCUAACGCUUUAAGUACCCCGCCUGGGGAGUACGGCCGCAAGGCUAAAACUCAAAGGAAUUGACGGGGCCCCGCACAAGCGGCGGAGCAUGCGGAUUAAUUCGAUGCAACGCGUAGAACCUUACCUGGGUUUGACAUGGAUCGGGAGUGCUCAGAGAUGGGUGUGCCUCUUUUGGGGUCGGUUCACAGGUGGUGCAUGGCUGUCGUCAGCUCGUGUCGUGAGAUGUUGGGUUAAGUCCCGCAACGAGCGCAACCCUUGUUCACUGUUGCCAGCACGUUAUGGUGGGGACUCAGUGGAGACCGCCGGGGUCAACUCGGAGGAAGGUGGGGAUGACGUCAAGUCAUCAUGCCCCUUAUGUCCAGGGCUUCACGCAUGCUACAAUGGCUGGUACAGAGAGUGGCGAGCCUGUGAGGGUGAGCGAAUCUCGGAAAGCCGGUCUCAGUUCGGAUUGGGGUCUGCAACUCGACCUCAUGAAGUCGGAGUCGCUAGUAAUCGCAGAUCAGCAACGCUGCGGUGAAUACGUUCCCGGGGCUUGUACACACCGCCCGUCAAGUCAUGAAAGUUGGUAACACCCGAAGCCGGUGGCCUAACCGUUGUGGGGGAGCCGUCGAAGGUGGGACUGGA
rnacentral:rRNA from 1 species